rnacentral:rRNA from 1 species
AACGAACGCUGGCGGCAGGCUUAACACAUGCAAGUCGAACGGGAUCUUCGGAUCUAGUGGCAGACGGGUGAGGAACACGUGGGAACAUCCCUUUCAGUUCGGAAUAACGUUGGGAAACUAACGCUAAUACCGGAUACGUCCUUCGGGAGAAAGAUUUAUCGCUGAAAGAUUGGCCCGCGUCUGAUUAGCUAGUUGGUGAGGUAAUGGCUCACCAAGGCUACGAUCAGUAGCUGAUCUGAGGAUGAUCGGCCACAUUGGGACUGAGACACGGCCCAAACUCCUACGGGAGGCAGCAGUGGGGAAUAUUGGACAAUGGGCGCAAGCCUGAUCCAGCCAUGCCGCGUGAGUGAUGACGGCCUUCGGGUUGUAAAGCUCUUUUGUCCGGGAAGAUAAUGACUGUACCGGAAGAAUAAGCCCCGGCAAACUUCGUGCCAGCCGCCGCGGUAA